GAUUUCUGGCUUGGUGCGCGCUGUCCGCCAAGGUUUCUUGGUGUGUACAGAAGUGCGCCUGCCAUCCUUCCGGAAAAUGACUCUACCCUUCACUGGGUCGGGGUCACUUCUGGAUCAUUUACUUUGAAAAAAUUAGAGUGUUCAAAGCAGGCUUGCGCUAAUUUAGGACUUCUGUUCUAUUUUGUUGGUUUCUAGGAUGGAAGUAAUGAUUGAUAGGGAUAGUUGGGGGUGCUAGUAUUCCGCGGCCAGAGGUGAAAUUCUUGGAUUCGCGGAAGACUAACUUAUGCGAAAGCAUU
rnacentral:rRNA from 1 species